CACACAAAUAAUUUGUUGUUUGGAAGAGCAAGGUCUAUGCAUUUCCUUCGUUCUGUCAAACCUUGUUUUCUAAUUAUGAGCUUGUUGGCUGCCUUUAAUGCUCUUUAUAUCUUUAGUCAGCAAGAUACGUGUCAUCUUGGAGGAGAUGCGUAUGAAGCUUUCUCCUCUUUUUCCAAAGGUUGUAUGUCUCAAAGGUAAUGUGACUGAUACAACUGUCAAUCAUGGGAAUUUAUUUUUUAAGCGUUCGAUGCUACGUGGCUUACUUUGAUUUGAUGAUGACCAUUUUACAUAUACUUUUUGACAUUAUAUACUCAACAAAUGGCUUUAGCAUUUAUUGCUGGUUUUCCUUUAUUCUCGAGAGGCCUUCAUUUACUUGCAUGUGUUUAAGAUGUGGGCAGUCUAUGAUCUUUUCUGAUUUAAGUAUAUAUAGUAGGUGCUGAUUUCUCACUUUUCAAAUAAUUGUAGUUCAUGUUAAUAUUAGCAUGGAGGAAUGGUCCUCUCCCGAGCAGCCCAGACCCCGAACCGAUUAAAGAUAGAGUAGGUAAGGGUAAAUUUCUUGAAUCUCGAAGGUUCUUGGUGCUAAACUUUUACCUAAGGAUAUAGCAGAUAUAGUUUACGAGUAUGCUAUUCCUAUGCAGAUAGUCCUAUUUAAUUUUCUACUGUUUUUACAUUUUUUCACAGCUGGAUGUAUCGAGAUUCCUUUCUGUCCUCUUCUGUAUGAGCUAUAGCCUUUAAUGCCUAACACAUCCUUUGGAUUUUUCGACAGGUGGACAUAAUAUGGUGAACUUGCUUUACCAAUUACAGGAAUCUUUCGUCGUUACAAUCUAUGGGGGCAAGUUCUUCUGCCUUGGUUCAUGAUUUCUCUUGGCGAUACAGUUCAUCCAAGGGUAUGCAAUUGAGAUUCAAGAAUCUGGAAGUAAAUAGCUGGUUUGGUGAUGAGCCUCAUUGAAAACCUUUACCGGGUGGUUUCUUACGUACAGAAAGGACCGAAGCCUGAAGGCGAAAAAAGAUGUAUUGUACAAAUACAGUUGAAGCAUGAAGUGAAAGAAGCCGGAUGUAAAUGCAGUUUUGUCCUUUGUUAAUUUAUUUUUUCCGGUGGGCGAGUGAGGGCUGUGUAAAUUUAAGUGAUGGCCAUUUCGAGAUUGUCUUAUUGGUAGAGAUUGCAGAUCUAGCACCUAACUACUUCCAUUGUGAUCUGUGUGUAUUAGAAAAAGGUUAUUUUACUCCGAAAUAUAUGUUAGUUAUUACAAGAAAAUAUUUGUUUUCGUGCAUAUAGUGUUGUAUGAUACGAGCAGGAAAGGCCGUAUUUACUUGACAUGGUCUUGUCUUUUCUCUCUACUGCCCGAAA